GGCAAACCAAUGUUCUCGCACACACAGCUGAUGCUAAAGCUGAUGUUUCCAGGAAGUGGUCUGUGGAGUCGUUGAUCUCAAAGAACAACAAUGAACCACCUCGUGGCUAGAGACUGAUGAAGGUCACAGGAGGACUUCAGAGGAAAGGAGGGCAGGACAACGGAGGAGAGGACAGAAGAGGAGAGGCCAGGCCAGGCGCUGGAAGUAGAGGAGAGAGGAGAGGCGAGGCGAGGCAAGGCCAGGCGCUGGAAGUAGAGGAGAGGCCAGGCGCUGGAAGAAGAGGAGAGGCCAGGCGCUGGAAGUAGAGGAGAGAGGAGAGGCGAGGUGAGGCGAGGCCAGGUGCUGGAAGUAGAGGGGGAGAGGAGAGGAGAGGCCAGGCCAGGCGCUGGAAGGAGAGGAGAGAGGAGAGGAGAGGCCAGGCCUGGCCAGGCGCUGGAAGUAGAGGAGAGAGGAGAGGCGAGGUGAGGCGAGGCCAGGCGCUGGAAGGAGAGGAGAGAGGAGAGGCGAGGCCAGGCGCUGGAAGGAGAGGAGAGGCCAGGCGCUGGAAGGAGAGGAGAGGCCAGGCGCUGGAAGGAGAGGAGAGGCCAGGCGCUGGAAGAAGAGGAGAG
rnacentral:lncRNA from 1 species